CCCUGCCCUUUGUACACACCGCCCGUCGCUACUACCGAUUGAAUGAUUUAGUGAGGUCUUCGGACCGGUGCGCGGGAUCUGCUUCGCGCAGUUUCCGAUGUGUCUGGAAAGAUGACCAAACUUGAUUAUUUAGAGGAAGUAAAAGUCGUAACAAGGUUUCCGUAGGUGAACCUGCGGAAGGAUCAUUACCGAAUUGUUUUAUCAAAAAACAUUUCGAGAAGGAGGAGUCGGGCCGCCUUGCGGUCCGCUCCUUCGGCGAGGCUCCUCCCUGGAGGGGCGAGACUCCUGCCGAGCCCGCUGUUGCGAGCUCCGGCGAGUCCCAUGCUCUGUACGCGGCGGCCCUGUCCGUCGCCGACAGCGGGAGUGUCGCGGUCCGCGUGGCCGCGUCUCCUACGAUGCAAACGUUCGGCAUUGGGUACCUACCUCCCUCGCUCAGUGGAGCGGGGAUAACACGAGGGGACCCGUCGCGGCGGCUUCGGCCGGCGGACGGGCAGGUUUUAAAUGAACGUGACGCCCAUGCUCGAAACACUUCUUAGCUACGUGACGAGAAACCCGCACUAAUGAUUGUUUUUUCUCCGCGGAGAGAAACGAUCGAAAAUGACAAAAAACAACCCUGAACGGUGGAUCACUCGGCUCGUGGGUCGAUGAAGAACGCAGCAAAUUGCGCGUCGACAUGUGAACUGCAGGAUACAUGAACAUCGACAUUUCGAACGCACAUUGCGGUCCAUGGAUUCCGUUCCCGGACCACGCCUGGCUGAGGGUCGGUUGCUAAAACUGAACGCGACAUUGCGUUCGAACGCUGGGAGCGUCGCGGUUCGUGCGGCCUCGGCCGCCGCCGCGUCUCCUGAAAGGAGCCUCCACCCCGGUGGAGCAGCUGGACCGGUCAACACCACCGCUGAGAGCGCGUGUGUGUCGGGAGGGUUGGUCCGCGCAGCGUCUUUGUGUAUGCUGGCGCCGGUUCGCCGCCCUCUCCGCGCCACAAGAUCGAAAGCGCGCGUGUGUGUUUGACGACCGAAAAUGCAAACCAAAACACGACCUCAGAGC
rnacentral:rRNA from 1 species